GGGGAUGGUUGGGUCCCGGUGGGUCCCCCGGUCUUCAAAAUCGGCGGCGGGCUGCUAUGCAGGCCGCGGUGGGUUCGACUCCCAUCCAUUCCCG
rnacentral:tRNA from 1 species